rnacentral:tRNA from 1 species
GGGCUUGUAGCUCAUUGGUAGAGCACCCACCUUACACGUGUGAGACACUGGGUUCGGUCCUCAGCACCA